AUGCACGCUGACAGAAUGCUUAACACAUGCAAGUCUACUUGAACUUCGGUUUGGGUGGCGGACGGGUGAGUAACGCGUAAAGAACUUGCCUCACAGUUAGGGACAACAUUUGGAAACGAAUGCUAAUACCUGAUAUUAUGAUUUUAGGGCAUCCUAGGAUUAUGAAAGCUAUAUGUGCUGUGAGAGAGCUUUGCGUCCCAUUAGCUAGUUGGAGAGGUAACGGCUCACCAAGGCGAUGAUGGGUAGCCGGCCUGAGAGGGUGAACGGCCACAAGGGGACUGAGACACGGCCCUUACUCCUACGGGAGGCAACAGUGGGGAAUAUUGGACAAUGGACCAAAAGUCUGAUCCAGCAAUUCUGUGUGCACGAUGACGUUUUUCGGAAUGUAAAGUGCUUUCAGUUGGGAAGAAAAAAAUGACGGUACCAACAGAAGAAGUGACGGCUAAAUACGUG
rnacentral:rRNA from 1 species